rnacentral:rRNA from 1 species
UAAGGAAUAUUGCUCAAUGGGAGAAAUCCUGAAGCAGCAACGCCGCGUGGAGGAUGAAGGGUCUAUGACUUGUAAACUCCUGUAAAGAAGGAAAAAAUUCCCAUUUGAUGGGAGAUGAUGGUACUUCUGGAGUAAGCCCCGGCUAACUACGUGCCAGCAGCCGCGGUAAUACGUAAGGGGCAAGCGUUGUCCGGAUUUACUGGGUGUAAAGGGUGCUCAGGCGGAUUUGUAAGUCAGAGGUGAAAUCUUACAGCUUAACUGUGAAACUGCCUUUGAUACUGCAAGCCUAGAGUAUGGAAGAGAGUGAUGGAAUAUCUGGUGUAGCAGUGAAAUGCGUAGAUAUCAGAUAGAACACCAAUGGCGAAGGCAGUCACUUGGUCCAUUACUGACGCUAAAGCACGAAAGCGUGGGUA